CUGUCCUUCCUCUCUCUCCUCGGCUGCUAAGUGUGUGACUAUGAGUGAGUUGGCUCGGCCCUCCCUCACGCAUCUUUGGUUCAUUGGUUGACACUGCGUGUCUGAUUGACAGGAACAACAGAUUUGUCUCUUCUGAUAUGCGAGUCGGCUCCCAACGUUCACCUACAAGAGCCGGCUCUUCGCAAACGACCCACCACUACAAGACUUCUAUUUGCCCUUCUACUGAAUGGAAACUACAAGUGUUAUUGCUGUGCUCAAUGUCAUGGCAUUUACAAACGUAGAUCCUUCUAACACCCUCAAACAGGGAAACAGAUCCCAAUCAAAGGUGUUAUCAUGCUCCACCAAGGCAGUUAUUUAUCUUAUAGCUUGUCCUUGUGGUAAAAAUGAUGUGGGUGGAACUAAGAGCGAAUUAACUCGAUGUACCCAGUUGCGACCCACUUUUUGGAAGCGGACCACUCUAUUUCGUCCCUUCGCUAUAUCAGCAUCUAACACGUCCCCUAGGAGAGGGGGGGACCUUGACAAUUUAUUGUUAAAAGGAGAGGCUGCCUGGAUAUUUAAUUUAAAGAAACUUGCUCACUUUGGUCUCAACAUAGACUUUGACCUGAAGCCAUUCUUGUGAUUAUUGUGAUUUUUCUGUUCAUUAUAAAUGUUUUGUAGGCCUAUGUAGCCACAUUGUAUUUAUGAUCGUAUAUCCAUUCAUGCUUUUUAUAUGUUCUAUUUAUAUCUGUAUAUCAACCAGUGACAUCAAGCCACGCCCGGCCAUGAUUACAGACACCUGUGUGUCCUUUCAAAUUAUAUAAAUUAGUAACCUGCAGUGUUUGUCAUUAUACCCUGAUGAAGACAGCUUGUCUGGUGAAACGUUGGUUAUUAAAUUGUUGCAUCUGCGCUCUUA